GGCUCAGGUCAUGAUCUCACAGUUCAUGGGUUCGAGCCCCACGUCGGGCUCUGACAGCUCAGAGCCUGGAGCUGCUUCAGAUUCUGCGUCUCCCUCUCUCUGACCCUCCCCUGCUCGCAUUCUCUCUCUCUCUCUCUCUCUCUCUCUCAAAAAUAAAUUAAAAAACAUUAAAAAUAUGAAAUUUUUUUAAAAAGUAAUUAUAUACACAUUAAAAGUGAUAGAGUAUAGAACUGUCCUGGUAACUUAAAUUAAGAAACAUUUUCAGUGGCGUAAAACUUAUAUAUCCAUGUGUGGAUGACGUCUUUUUAAUCACACUAAGAAAACACACAGAAUGCUAUAAAGAAUACAACUAUCUCCCAUAUAUAUAUAUGUAUACCUAUCUUAACUUUCUAGUAUUUGAAUAAAACUUUGAGGGAAGAAAGUGAACAGCUAAUGUUUCUGAGUCUACUUCACUGAAAAAUUUUUCAAUAAUCAUUGAUGCCAUGUUAGGGUUUAGAAUUUUAAGGCACUAAAACAUGUUAAUUUACUGGUUCUUGUUUUCUUCUUCUGAAAAUACAAAGAAGAGAGUGGGUCUGAGACAGGAGCGCGGAGGAAAACAGAAUAAAAGGGAAACUUGCAGGACAACGGCCUGAAUUAUUUAGAAACACGAGCGCCACAAGUCAGUAGCUCCAAAGUACGCAAGAGUGAGACGCUUCAUUUUCCGACGGAAACUAUAAGAAGAGGAAAGGAGUUUGCAGUUUAAAUGCGAAGGCUUCGGCACCUUGGGGUAAAUCCACCUGACUUCCUUAUGAAUGAUAACGUGGAAAACACUGACGCGAUGGAGGAGCCCCGGCGAGAGGGCAAAGGGCCAAGUAAAAGAAGUUACCACCAGCAGUAAGGCGGCGAGCCGGUACCCGUGCCGGAGGCACGCGAAGGACACGUGAUCCCCGCUGUGCGCCGGUUCCCCCAGAAGGGAAUCAGAAUAAGUCUAAUUACUAGGAAACGGCGGAGUUAUGCAAAUUACAAGCCACACGGAGCUCCCACGUCCCGUAAAGUAAUCGUGUCUUUUAAACGGACCAUCUUUCGCAUUCUAAACAGGUCUACGCAGAGCCCUGAAAGCAUCAGACGGGACCUAACGGCGAACCGUCCCGCUGCCCGCGCCCCCAGGACUCGGCCCCACCCGCCACGGAAAACUCUGGGAUCCCCUGUGGGCCAGUCGCAGAGGGGACGCCUCCGAUCCGCGCGGGACAGGAGUUGCGAGGGACAAGUGUUCCCGUCCCUGCGGGAAGCCGGGCUGAGGGAGGGGAAAGCGGGCGCCGGAGCCGACGAGAGUCUACAACGCGAAAUGUCAGUAUCCUUUUUUAAACCGCUGCCUAAAAAUAGGCGAAAACACUCACAAGGCAGGAACGGGAGACGUAGCUGAAUCAACAUUUGCGCAAAAAAAAAAAAAAAAAUUUUUUUAAUUGCGAGCGAGCGCGUCCACGCGUGCGCGCGCGCCGAAGGGGCGGAGGGGAGAGCAAGCGAGCCCCAAGCAGGCUCCACGCUCCGCCGGGGGCGGCCGCGGGGCGGGGGGCGCUCCGGCCCACGACCCCCCGGGACCGGGNNNNNNNNNNNNNNNNNNNNNNNNNNNNNNNNNNNNNNNNNNNNNNNNNNNNNNNNNNNNNNNNNNNNNNNNNNNNNNNNNNNNNNNNNNNNNNNNNNNNUGGGCGCCGCCGCAGCCCGGAGUCUGUGCCCGCGGGCUCCCUGCAGGGGCGGGGGCGGAAGCGUGGCCCCCGGCGGGGGAGGCGGGUGCCCACGCGGGCCGCCCUCCACGAGAAGCCGGCUCAAACCAGACAGGCCCAAGAUGGCGGGUGCCAUGACAGGAAACGCCUGCCCAAAUAAGGAAGAAAAGGCGCGGAAACCCCGCUGCCCAGAGCUGCCCACCCCAAGUAACAAAUAGCCCACCCCCUAGUCAGCAACUGCCAGUCACCCUUGGAAGCCCCAAGCCCAGGGCCCCCAGCUCGCUCUCUCUUUCUCUCUGGGGGUCUCUUACUCUCACAUCUUGAGAGUGCACUUUGUUUUAGCAAACUGUCCUGGUGUGUCACUCAUUUGCUGUGCUCUGUCCCUGGACUCUUUCUUGGGGGCCCUUCUGCAAUCUAGGAUGGGCUGGAGAGAGUCCCCAGGGCCCCCCGGGUCUCCCCAGUCCAGCCAGCUACACUUUAAAGGGGCCUCCCUUCCCCCAGAAGGGGCGCCCCGAGUACUGCAGCGCAGGAGAGUGGGUACCAGGGACCUGACCCUCCCCGCUCCCGGAGAGGAGACCCUGUUACCUCCCCUCGAGCCGAAGCCUGCACUCAACUCCCAUCAAAUAAUGGGAGCCCUCGCGCCUAGCCCCGGCCUCCCUUAGAAUCACGGAGAGCGCUUCCUUAACUCACGACUGAGUUGUUUCCCCCCAGACCCAGGGACAGGAUCUGAGGGGGGAAGACUUGGGGAGGUGACCAGGCAGAGCCCAGGAGUCAAGCCUACGGCUGUUGUCCAGAUUUCAAUCCAUGCUUUCUCCGUGGAUCAGAGUGCCUGGAGAUUUGCACAUUCUCCCUCUCCCUACGGAGGAGGGAGGCACCCUUCCAAACAGCUUUCCUUUGUAAAUGCAGAUGUCUCUUACAAAAGGAAACGAGAACUCCUGAUUUCAGACUUUUUCCUUUGUCUGCUGUUUCUUUAAAAUAACUAGCCUAAAAUAAUCCUUAAGCCGUCGAGGCGCAUUUGUCCGGUAACUAAAUGCUCCCCUUCAGUAGGAAAUGUUUAUUUUCAUAAGUAACUGCCAAACAGCUUUCCAAAGUGAAUGUGUUCUUACGCUCCUAUUAGCAGUUUAUGAGAAUUCUAAUUCCUCAACGUUUUCACUGGAAUUUGGUGUUGUCAUUUAUUUUUCUUCAUGCUAGCCAUUCUAGAAAAUACUAAGUGGUUUCCCACUGUAAAAUAUGAAGUGGUCUCACUACAGUUGUCCUGCUGAUUGGGAUGCAUGUGUAGGAGAGGAAAACUUUUUUCUUCCUUCUAGAGUCUUUGGCCGUCUAAUAAUUAAACUGACAUAAGACAGAUUAGGGGCGCCUGAGUGGCUCAGUGAGUUAAGCCUCUGACUCUUGAUCUCAGCUCAGGUCUUGACCUCAGGGUCAUGAGUUCAAGCUCCAUGUUGGGCCUCAUGCUGAGUGUGGAGCCUACUUUAAAAAAAAAUAAGAAAGAUCAAUCACAGGAAAAAAGAAAUUUAAUUUCUUCAUUACAGGAACCCCAAAGAUAUGAGGCUCAAAAACAAGCAAAUGAUGCCUAUAGGCCAUUCUGACUGAGAAAAGGGAGGAAGGGUUAGGGAUUUAGAAUUUCAAAAAGGAGGAAAUAAGUUCCGCAGAAAAAAGGAAAGAGCGAGAAUGUGGGCAAAGGUUUUCCAUACAGACAGGUCAAUCUUUCUGAUAAAAAAAAAUGAUCUCUGGGGUUAGCUCUCUUCCUGAUUGGGGCCGCCUUCUAAUUUCUUCCUAGCAGUUACGUUAGAGGCGAAGUAGCAUUAUCUGAGUCUGCUGGGUCCUAAGUCCCUUCAGCUCAAAACAAUCCACAUGCAAAGUGAUUUUUUUAAUGAAAUUUUUUUUAAGUUUAUUUCUUUAUCUUGAGAGAGAGUGAGUGGUGGAGGGGCAGAGAGAGAGAGAGAGAGAGAGAAGUCCAAGCUGGCUCUGCCCUGUCAGCGCCGAGUCCAAUGUGGGGCUUGAACUCACAAACUGUGAGAUCACGACCUUAGCCAAAACCCAGAGUAGGAUGCCCAACAGACUGAGCCACCCAAGUGCCCCACAAAAUGAUUUAUUUGACGUCACAUAUUCUCUCCUCCAAUGAAUAAAGGUAUUUUGUGUGCAUAUAUUUAUAUAUACUUCGGAAUAUACUUCUCAAGUAUGUGUGUGUGUGUGUGUGUGUGUGUGUGUGUGUGUGUGUAUUCAGCCUCAAAAGUGAAGAAAAUAUUUACAUUUGCAGCAACAGGAUGUAUCCAGAAGACACUCUGCUAAGUUACAUAAGCCAGACACAGGAAUAAAACAAAACAAUUCUGUGUGUAAUCACAUAGAUGUGGAACCCAUAAAAAGUUAAAAUCACAAAUGUGAAGAUUAGCAUGUUUCUUGUCAGGGGCUGAGGGUGGAGUGAAUAUUGAGCUGCUGGUCAGAUGGUACUCACUUAGGCAGGAUAAGUAAUCCCUGGAGGUCAGCUAGCCAGCCCCCCCUUUCUCAACUGCAGACCCCAACACUCAAAACCAAAAUUAGGGGUGCCUGGGUGACUCAGUCGGUUAAGUGUCCGACUUGGGCUCAGGUCAUCACCUCACACCUUGUGAUUUUGAGCCCCGUGUGGGGCUUUAUGCUCAGAGCCUAGAGCCUGCUUCAGAUUCUGUGUCUCUGUCUCUGCCGCUCCCCUGCUCAUUCUCUGUCUCUCUGUCUCAAAACUAAAUUUUAAAAAACAUUAAAAAAAUUUUAAUAAAACCAUAAAUAGACAUGACCACUUCACACAUGCUCUAACUGAAGCCCAUUGUUCGUACUGCACUGUCUUUAGGCAUCAAUGAAGAUGUUUUGAAAGACCAGAGCAUUCCAACGACCCGGCAGAUAAUCCCUGAUGGCAACAGAAUGUCUGCAAGACUUCCUCUCCUUUGCUGCCCUAAGCACAUAGCAGCCCGCACACAUGACCACAUGCUCCCUGCCUGCUCUCAUGCAAGUGCCCUCCUGAACCUCUCCCUAUAACGUUUAUUUAUUUUUUUGAGAGAGAGAGAGACAGAGCGAGAGCAGGGGAGGGGCAGAGAGAAAGGGAGGCACAGAAUCUGAAGAAGCAGGCUUCAGGCUCUGCUCUGCGCUGUCAGCACAGAGCCCGACUUGGGGCUUGAACUCACGACGGACCACGAGACCAUGACCUGAGCCGAAGUCAGACACUUAACCGACUGAGCCACCCAGGCGCCCCCGACCUCUCCCUAUAAAACACUAGAUGUCCAUCCUGUUAUCAGAGAGGCGAGUUGUUAAGGCUUGUGUCUGCCUCCUCUCUCCCAACAUGAAUUUCUCCCCUUUUCCUUUUCCAAUCCCUGUCUCUUGAGUUACUGACUUCUCUUGUGAGGAGGUGAUUGGAGUUAUUUCAGCAACACUGUUGGCAAACCCAGCCAGGAGCUACCCUUCCAUUUGUCCAGCCCUGGAGGGAUUCCCUGGGUCAGAGUACUUGGCCAUGGCGGUGCACCAGGGCUUACCUGUCCGUUUCCUGGGUUGGGAGCGAUGCUAAAUAGGUCAGUUACAGGUCUAAUACACAUCACCGUGGCUGUAAUUAAUAGUAGUGUCCUGUACACUUGAAAUUCACUAGGAGAGAACAUCUUAAGUGUUCUCCCCACACGUACACACAAAUCUUAGCUAUAUGAGGUGGGGGAUAUGUUCAUUAGCCUGACUGAGGUAAUCAUUUCACAAUAUAUGUUUGUAUUUACGUUUUAAAACUUGAGCAAUGGGGCGCCUGGGUGGCUCAGUUGGUUAAGCAAUCAACCUUGGCUCAGGUCAUGAUCUUGCAGUUAAUGAGUUCAAGUCCCGCAUCAGGCGUCCUGCUGACAGCACAGUGCCUGCUUUGAUCCUCUGUCCCCCUGUCUCUCUGCCCCUCCUCUGCUCAUGCUUUCUCUCUCAAAAAUAAAUAUUUUAUUAUUUUUAAAAUUCUUAAUGUUUAUUUAUUUUUGAGACAGAGAGAUAGAUGAAGCAUGAGCAGGGGAAAGGCAGAAAGAGAGGGAGACACAGAAUCCAAAACAGGCUCCAGGCUCUGAGCUGUCAGCACAGAGCCCGACGCAGGGCUUGAACCCACGAACCGUGAGAUCAUGACCUGAGCUGAAGUCAAAUGCUCAACCGACUGAGCCACCCAGGAGCUCAAAAAUAAAUAACUAUUUUUAAAAAUAAUUUAAGAAAUAAAACUUGAGCAACUACAGGAUGCUGAAUGGGUAGGCUCUCAAAGCACAGAACCUAGUAAGACAGAAAAUUAGGCACCAAA
rnacentral:lncRNA from 1 species